GUGGGGAAUAUUGGGCAAUGGGCGAAAGCCUGACCCAGCAACGCCGCGUGAAGGAAGAAGGUUUUCGGAUCGUAAACUUCUAUCCUUGGUGAAGAUAAUGACGGUAGCCAAGAAGGAAGCCCCGGCUAACUACGUGCCAGCAGCCGCGGUAAUACGUAGGGGGCAAGCGUUGUCCGGAAUGAUUGGGCGUAAAGGGCGCGUAGGCGGCCCGGUAAGUCUGAAGUGAAAGUCCUGCUUUUAAGGUGGGAAUUGCUUUGGAUACUGUCGGGCUUGAGUGCAGGAGAGGUAAGCGGAAUUCCCGGUGUAGCGGUGAAAUGCGUAGAGAUCGGGAGGAACACCAGUGGCGAAGGCGGCUUACUGGACUGUAACUGACGCUGAGGCGCGAAAGUGUGGGGAGCAAACAGGAUUAGAAACCCCGGUAGUCC
rnacentral:rRNA from 1 species